AAUAUAAGAAGUAGGGCCUGCCCGGUAAACGGCUGCAACGAAGUUGUACUAAGGUAGCGCGAUAAUUUGUCUCUUAAUUGGAGAAUGGAAUGAAUGGUUUGUCGCAUGUUGGUGUCUCUGGAAAGAAGUUUCCUUUUAAUUGAAAAGGUUUAAAUUUUAAUAAAAGACGAGAAGACCCUGUGAGAAAAUGUAGUUGGGGAGAGCGCUUUAAAAAUAAAGAUUUGAGAGAAAGUAAAAGCUACCACAGGGAUAACAGCGUAAUCUUCUGAGAGAUCUUAUUGAGGGAAAGGUUUGCGACCUCGAUGUUGGAUUAGAAAAACUUUUGGUGAGCAGUCAAAAGUGA
rnacentral:rRNA from 1 species